CUACGGGACGCUGCAGUGAGGAAUAUUGCACAAUGGGGGAAACCCUGAUGCAGCAACGCCGCGUGGAGGAUGACGCAUUUCGGUGUGUAAACUCCUUUUAUAUGUCAAGAAAAUGACGGUAGCAUAUGAAUAAGCACCGGCUAACUCCGUGCCAGCAGCCGCGGUAAUACGGAGGGUGCAAGCGUUACUCGGAAUCACUGGGCGUAAAGGACGCGUAGGCGGGUUGUCAAGUCAGGUGUGAAAUCCUACAGCUUAACUGUAGAACUGCACUUGAAACUGGCAGCCUAGAGUAUGGGAGGGGGAGAUGGAAUAGUAGUGUAGGGGUAAAAUCCGUAGAUAUUACUAGGAAUAUCAAAAGCGAAGGCGAUCUCCUGGAACAUUACUGACGCUAAGGCGUGAAAGCGUGGGGAGCAAACAGGAUUAGAUACCCCGGUAGUC
rnacentral:rRNA from 1 species